rnacentral:rRNA from 1 species
GAUGAACGCUGGCGGCGUGCAUAACACAUUCAAGUCGAACGGGUAGAAGAUGGAACCGAGGAGCAAGGAGACUUGCGACUGGGUUCUAUCUUCUGUCAGUGGCGGACGGGUGAGUAACGCGUGAGCAACCUGCCUUUCAGAGGGGGAUAACACAUGGAAACGUGUGCUAAUACCGCAUAACACAUAGAGAUCGCAUGGUUUUUAUGUCAAAGGAGCAAUCCGCUGAAAGAUGGGCUCGCGUCCGAUUAGGCAGUUGGUGAGGUAACGGCUCACCAAACCGACGAUCGGUAGCCGGACUGAGAGGUUGAACGGCCACAUUGGAACUGAGAAACGGUCCAGACUCCUACGGGAGGCAGCAGUGGGGAAUAUUGGGCAAUGGGGGAAACCCUGACCCAGCGACGUCGCGUGAGGGAAGAAGGUCUUCGGAUUGUAAACCUUGUCAACAGGGAAGAAGCAAGUGACGGUACCUGAAGAGGAAGCCACGGCUAACUACGUGCCAGC